AUUUCUUUAAUUUAUUUAUAUAGUUUAAAAAAACAUUACAUUUUCAUUGUAAAAUUAAAUAUCCCAUAUUUUAUAA
rnacentral:tRNA from 1 species